AUAUGUUACAUGCAAUGAAAAUAUGUCCAUUCAGUUUUAAUCUAUUCAUAUGUGAAUUUCAAACUAUGUUUAUAACGAUGUUAUUUGAAUAAGAAUGCCACACCUUCAGUAGCAGCUACAGAUGUUAGUAAACGUUCUCUCUUUUAGUAUUUCUCUCUUUUAUACAGUAAUUUCUAAAAAUACAUCUGUAUUUGUCUGGGGCCGGCAUUGAGCCAGAGGCAAGAACGCUCUUGGGUAGACGUUCAAAUUGGAGGAGAAUUCCCCACGUGAUGGCUCCGACGUGGAGACCAGAAUCCUCUUAGAGAAGAGAGGAGACCUGGGCUGCAGGGAGAUGCUGAUGGGAGCGAGACAGAACCGAGAUUCUCCCGGCCAGGCUCCACGGAGCCCUCCUGUCCAUCCACACCUCGCCUGGCCUGUGAGGCUGUGGACCAACAUGAAAGAUUUCUAAGAGCUCAAGCUGCACCCCUAGAUGGACCCUGGGGCCCCCUGAAGUGCCUGCCUGGGAAAACUCAGCCUAAACAGGUUACUGUGGCCCCCGCCAGCUCCUGGUGGUAGGACCCUGUCCGCCGGCCUGCCAACUGGCAGAUGUAAAAGGCAGUGCUGUUAACCAGGGUCAGCAAGCGGCGCCCCAGCCCCAGGACCUGUAUUAUCACCGGACGUUUGCACCUUCUGAAGACGGCAGGAGCCUGACGUCAGUGUGUGCUGGUUCACACACCCAGGUCCAGGCAGCAGGAAGCCACCCUCGUCAUGGACCGGCGGGAAGGAAACCCCGGGGACGGAAACAGCCGUGCAGACCUCAGCCAAGGACAUGGAGACGUGGGCUGUGAGGUGACACGCCCCGGAGGUGAGGUGAUGAGGGGGCUGCCGGCCUCCCCGGGUGAGAGAAAGUGUCAUUGAUCGAACGCGGGAGGCUUCUGGGAAGGCAUUUGCCGGAACAGUAGGUGCCUGUGGGUCUCAGGGGAUGUGAGCAUUGAAGUGACUCGAGCGCAGUAACCAGGUGGGCCCAGCAGCAGCCGCUGGAGGCCCCGGAGGCAGAGUGUGCGACCCUCUGCUGCCGUUGACUCAGUUUCUUCUCCUCCUCUUUCCGCUGCUGCGGCACAACACGCCCGAUCGGAAGGACGACGCGAUGUGGCCAGAUCCGCUCACCUCCGUCCUUGCGGUCGCCGACGCUGCGCCAGUCCCUCCUGGUCACC